UUUUUACGGAGAGUUUGAUCCUGGCUCAGGACGAACGCUGGCGGCGUGCUUAACACAUGCAAGUCGAACGAUGAUGCCCAGCUUGCUGGG
rnacentral:rRNA from 1 species